CUACGGGGCGCAGCAGUGAGGAAUAUUGGGCAAUGGGCGGGAGCCUGACCCAGCCAUGCCGCGUGCAGGAUGACGGCCCUACGGGUUGUAAACUGCUUUUGCACGGGAAGAACGGCCCCGACGUGUCGGGGAUUGACGGUACCGUGCGAAUAAGCACCGGCUAACUCCGUGCCAGCGGCCGCGGUAAUACGGAGGGUGCAGGCGUUAUCCGGAUUUAUUGGGUUUAAAGGGUGCGUAGGCGGAACUGUAAGUCAGUGGUGAAAUCCCCCCGCUCAACGGGGGAACUGCCAUUGAUACUGGGUUCUUGAGUACAGACGAGGUAGGCGGAAUGUGUCAUGUAGCGGUGAAAUGCUUAGAUAUGACCCAGAACACCGAUUGCGAAGGCAGCUUGCUAGACUGUAACUGACGCUGAUGCACGAAAGCGUGGGUAGCGAACAGGAUUAGAUACCCUAGUAGUC
rnacentral:rRNA from 1 species